rnacentral:lncRNA from 1 species
AAAAUAGUGUUGAACUAUCUAAUCAAUAUUCUAAAUUAGAUUUCUCUUCAUAAAAAGUAUGUUAUAUGUGUUGGUCACAAGAAAAAAAAAACCACCCAAGGAGUGAGUAAGAACUCGUCAAAUACAACCUAUAUGUUCUAAAAAUCUUCAAAUAUUUAACUUUGUUUAUCCAAAUACAAUUAUUAAUUUUCAAUAUAAGUAAU